rnacentral:tRNA from 1 species
GAGGGUAUAGCUCAGUGGUAGAGUAUGUGCUUAGCAUGUACGAGUUCUUCGGUUCAAUCCCCAGUAACUCCA